UACGAAGGGUGCAAGCGUUAAUCGGAAUUACUGGGCGUAAAGGGUGCGUAGGCGGUUCGUUAAGUCUGUCGUGAAAUCCCCGGGCUCAACCUGGGAAUGGCGAUGGAUACUGGCGAGCUAGAGUGUGUCAGAGGAUGGUGGAAUUCCCGGUGUAGCGGUGAAAUGCGUAGAGAUCGGGAGGAACACCCGUGGCGAAGGCGGCCAUCUGGACCAGUACUGACGCUGAGGCACGAAAGCGUGGGGAGCAAACAGG
rnacentral:rRNA from 1 species